UACAGAGGUCUCAAGCGUUGUUCGGAUUCAUUGGGCGUAAAGGGUGCGUAGGUCGGCGCGGUAAGUCGGGUGUGAAAUCUCGGAGCUUAACUCCGAAACUGCAUUCGAUACUGCCGUGCUUGAGGACUGGAGAGGAGACUGGAAUUUACGGUGUAGCGGUGAAAUGCGUAGAUAUCGUAAGGAAGACCAGUGGCGAAGGCGGGUCUCGUGGACAGUUCCUGACACUGAGACACGA
rnacentral:rRNA from 1 species